rnacentral:rRNA from 1 species
UAAAAAUUUAUUUAUUUUAGGUAGUAACAGAUUUCUUGAAACCUAAAGAAUUUGGCGGUAUUUUAAAUAAUUAGAGGAACCUGUUAUAUAAAUGAUAAUCCACAACAUAUCUUACCUUAAUUAAGUUUGUAUACCGUUGUUUUUAGAUUAUGUUUAUAAAUUAUGAUCAAAAUUAAUUAAUUUUUAUAAAUCAAAUCAAGGUGCAGCAUAUUUAGGUUUUAAUGGGUUACAAUAUAUUUAUAUACACGAAUAAAUUAUGAAAAUAUUUUGGAAGGUGGAUUUAAAAGUAAUUUAAAAUUAAAAUGUUUAAAUGAAUAAAAAUUUAAAAUAUGC